UGACCUCAAAUCGGGUGAGACUACCCGCUGAACUUAAGCAUAUCAAUAAGCGGAGGAAAAGAAACUAACAAGGAUUCCCCUAGUAACUGCGAGUGAAGCGGGAAAAGCUCAAAUUUAAAAUCUGGUGGCCUUUGGUCAUCCGAGUUGUAAUUUAGAGAAGCGUCUUCCGCGCUGAACCGUGCACAAGUCUCCUGGAAUGGAGCGUCAUAGAGGGUGAGAAUCC
rnacentral:rRNA from 1 species